rnacentral:rRNA from 1 species
GCUUUAUGCUAUUUUAUAAAGCAACUCCUGCUCAGUGAAAAUAAACAGCCGCAGAAUUUUAUACUGUGCUAAGGUAGCAUAAUCACUUGUCUUUUAAUUUAAGAAUAGAAUGAAUGGAUAAACGAAUUUUAAACUAUUUCAGUUUUUUUUAAUAAAACUACCAAAAAGUAAAAACACUUUUUUUCGAAAAAAAGACGAUAAGACCCUAAAGAACUUAACUAAAGUUAAGCUGGGGCGGCUACUUAAAAAAAUCUUAUUAUUUAUUAAUCUAAUCUUUAUAUACUUACAAUGUUACCUUAGGGAUAACAGCAUAAUUUAAUUUUAUAGCUCUCAUUCAAAAUUAAGAUUAUGACCUCGAUGUUGAAUUAAAAAUCUACUAAACGAAAAAAAUUAGUAAGAAAGUCUGUUCGACUUUUAAAUAUUUACA